rnacentral:rRNA from 1 species
UCCAGAGGUCUCAACCGUUGUUCGGAUUCAUUGGGCGUAAAGGGUGCGUCGGCGGUCGCGUAAGUCAGGUGUGAAAUCUCAGGGCUCAACCCUGAAACUGCACUUGAUACUGCGUGGCUCGGGUACUGGAGAGGAGACUGGAAUUUACGGUGUAGCAGUGAAAUGCGUAGAUAUCGUAAGGAAGACCAGUGGCGAAGGCGAGUCUCUGGACAGUUACCGACGCUGAGGCACGAAGGUCAGGGGAGCAAACGGG